CAGAGGCCAGGGGCAAACCCCCCAGGAUGCCUGGUGAGUUCAGGAAGGAGUGAGAACCUGAGACAAGGAAGGAAGAGCCAGAAGGAGGUGCUUCUUAGCAGCCCAUGGCAACACCUGUGACACUUCCCAGCCAAUGAAUCAUCAGGCAAGUAGAGGAUUCAAAUGCACUUAUGGGGUUCAGCUUGCUCUUUUGUGCCUCUAACAUUACGAUGAGAAGGAAUACUCCCAGGCCCCCAAUUGGACACAUGUGGAGCACACCUAGGCCCUGAGUUGAAGAGCCAACCUGGAUUAGCCAAGCCUCCACUGGCCCACAGGAGAAGAUCUCGGUGGUGUGGGUCCUGCGGCUUACCCAGUUUGGGAGAACCUCUUUAAGGAAAAGAGCACAAAAUUACAAGUUCAAAUGUAG